UACGGCGGCCGAGGAAGGUCUGAAGUUGCAGGUGUACGGAGCACGGACGACUGGGAGGUAGUAAGUUCGCGUCCUCUCGUCACGGAUACUGGAGGCAGCCAUCUUUGAAUCCUGCACGUACGGAAGAGGAAAAAGAGCAAUCGCACCCUGAGUCAUAUACCGCGAAAACGCAUCUAGCUACAUGUGGAGGACAAGAGGAAGAUUUUUGAGGACCAAAAGGGUGUGGAGAGGCAAUCGAGGUACGAGGAUAUUGUUCACCCCGUCAACGGAAAGUGAAAAAACAGCGACCCCUGGAACCUCAUUUACAUUUGAGGGACACGGUCACCGCCCAGUGCAGGUAAAGAGAGCAGCCACCAGCCAACCGGAAAAGGAAUCCAAUGCGGGAGGCGGGAAUUUUCCUUAAGAGAGAAGAAGGGCCUUCCCUCUGCUGUAGGUGGAGUCAAUCUUAACGUCGGGGCUUUCGGAGAACCAAGUGCCUAAAAUUCUGGAAGGAAUAAAUAAGGCGACUCUGGGAGAAUGAAAAGUUGUGCAAGCCCGGGCGCGAUGGCGCACACGUGUAGUCCCAGCUACUGGGGAGACCAAGGCAGGAAGAUCGCUUGAGCCCAGGAGUUCCAGGCUGCAGUGAGCUAUGAUCGCACCUAUCAAUAGCCACUGCACUACACAGCCUUGGCAACCCCUUCAUGAGGAAAAAAAGAAAAAAGAAAAAAAAAAGUUGUGCAAGAAAAGUAAUCAUAGGAUACUACCUGACUGACCUAUAAAUAUUAUUUACAUAGUCAUCAUAACGUAAAUUCUAAUUCUGAUCCAACCUAAAUUAAGACAAUUCCAUUGGAAGAAUGAGAAGGAAAUUCCUGCAUGCAGUGGAGUGUUUAUAUUUAUAACAGAGUUUUCACGUGUCCUUCAUGAUACAUCUAUAGAAAAUGCCCCAAAAUGCAAACUCCAUUUCAGAAACAUACCGUGUUACUUAAAAUAUCAAAUCUGUGAAGAGUGAAAAGCUUUACAGAACUAUAUGACUCCUUAGGAGAAUUGCAAAAUAAAAGCAAGAAUCUUAUGACUCAGGAAUUCCACUCCUAGAUACUUAUACAACAGUAAUGAAAUGAUAUGUCCUCACAAAGACUCACAAGAAUGUUCUUAGCACCUUUAUGCAUAAUACCCUGAACAGGAAACAGUCCAAGUGUCCAUCAGUACAUGAAUGUAUAAGCAAAUUGCAGUGUAAUCAUACCCUGGAAUACUACUGAACAAUAAUAAAAAACAAAUCAUAGAUGCAUGCACCAACAUAGAUAAAUCUCAACAACCUUAUGAAGGGGGCCAGCCUCUCCACACCUGUGGGUAUUUCUCAUCUGGUGGGAUGAGAGACUGAGAAAAGAAAUAAGACACACUGACAAAGUAUAGAGAAAGAACAGUGGGCCCAGGGGACCAGCACUCAGCAUACGAAGGACUCCUGCCAGCACUGGUCUCUGAGUUUCCUCAGUAUUCAUUGAUCACUAUCUCUACCAUCUCGGUGAGGGGGAUGUGGCAGGACUAUAGGGUAAUGGUGGGGAGAGGGUCAGCAGGAAAAUAUGUGAACAAAGUUCUCUGUGUCAUAAAUAAGGAAAGGUGCUGUGCCUUGAUGUGCACGUAGGCCAGAUUUAUGUUUGACUUUACACAAGCAUCUCAGUGUAGUAUAGAGCAGUAUUGCUGCCAGCAUGUCUCACCUCCAGCCAUAAGGCAGUUUUCUCCUAUCUCAGUAAAUAGAAUGUACAAUUGGGUUUUAAACUGAGACAUUCCAUUCCCAGGGAUGAGCAGGAGACAGAUGCCCUCUUCUUAUCUUAACUGCAAAGAGGCCUUCCUCUUUUACUAAUCUUCCUAGGCACAGACUCUUUAUGGGUGUUGUGUUGGGGGAUAGUCAGGUCUUUCCCUUCCCAUGAGUCCAUAUCUCAGGCUGUCUCAGCAGGGAGAAACUUUGGACAAUACCCAGGCUUUCUUGGGCAGAGGUCCUUGUGGCCUUCUGCAAUGCAUUGUGUCCCUGGGUACUCGAGACUGGAGAAUGGUGAUGACUUUUACCAAGCAUACUGCCUGCAAACACUUUUUAACAAAGCACAGCCUGCACAGCCCUAAAUCCAUUAGACCUUGGACAUGAGUCGACACAGCACAUGUUUCUGUGAGCACAGGGUUGGGGCUAGGGUUACAGAUUAACAGCAUCUCAAGGCAGAAGAAUUUUUCUUAGUACAGAACAAAAUGGAGUUUCUUAUGUCUACUUCUUUCUACAUAGACACAGUAGCAGUCUGAUCUAUCUUUCUUUCCCCUACACUGGUAACAUAGUCAUGUAUAUCAUUAACAAGAAUUACAUACUAUCCAUAUUUUAUGUGUUGUAUUUUAUAUGACUGGAAGAGCAGUAGGUUUGUCUACACCAGCAUCAUCACUGACAACUGAGUAACACAUGCUACUACCUUGAGAUGGCUACCACGUCUCUAGAUGGCAGGAAUUUUUCAGCUCCAUUAUAAUCUUUUUUUUUAAUAUAUACUUUAAGUUCUGGGGUACAUGUGCAGAACGUGCAGUUUUGUUACAUAGGUAUACAUGUGCCAUGGUGUUUUGCUGCACCCAUCAACCCAUCACCAACAUUAGGUAUUUCUCCUAAUGCUAUCCCUUCCCUAGCCCCACAACCCCCAACAGGCCCCGGUGUGUGAUGUUCCCCUCCCUUUGUCCAUAUGUUCUCACUGUUCAACUGCCACUUAUGAGUAAG
rnacentral:lncRNA from 10 species